AUCAUCUCCAUGACCUGAUUUUUCUGCAUUUCCAUGACUUCCGCCUGUUUCUUUUGCAAUUUUCGGUUCUCCUCUUUUAUCUUUUCAACUUCUGCUUCCAACUCCAUGGUAUAAGCCUGCUUGCGAGCCCGUGACCUUGCAGCUGACUCUCUGUUCUUAAUCAUUCUUCUCUGCCUCCUCUCAACCACCUUCUCCACAGCACCAGUGGCUCUCCUUCCCCUUAAACCUCCAUUAAAGACAUAAGGAACUGGCGACACUGAAGAUGUGUCCCCAUUACUCUUUGUAAUCCCAUCUGACGACAGCUGGUUUGCAGGUGAUCCCGUUGCAACACCUCCUAAUCCAACCAUUCCCAAAGCU
rnacentral:misc_RNA from 1 species